rnacentral:rRNA from 1 species
AGGACGAACGCUGGCGGCGUGCUUAACACAUGCAAGUCGAGCGGAAAGGCCCUUCGGGGUACUCGAGCGGCGAACGGGUGAGUAACACGUGAGCAACCUGCCCCUGGCUCUGGGAUAGCCUCCGGAAACGGGGAUUAAUACCGGAUAUUCACUGCUCCCUGCAUGGGGGGUGGUGGAAAGUUUUUCGGCUAGGGUGGGCUCGCGGCCUAUCAGCUUGUUGGGGGGGUGACGGCCCACCAAGGCGACGACGGGU